UAGGAGGUGGUUGGUUGGCUGACAGCAGUGAGGGGAGGAAUAGAGCCUGGAGUAGCCCAAGCAAAGGGGCCUUGAUGCUAGAUAGUGUGUUACUUGAGGAGCUCAUAAGGACCUCCUGUGGCCAGGGCUUCUAUGGGCUGUGGCUUAUGUCUUAUGUGUCAUUCUCCAGGGAAGCGCCGCCGAGCUGCUAUGGACUUCCCUGGAGCCAAAGUCAUUGUUCCCCAGCUGAAGGGCAAGGUGCAGCGGAGGCGUGUGGGGUUGAUGUGUGAGGGGGCCCCCAUGCGGGCACACAGUCCCAUCCUGAACAUGGAGGGUACCAAGAUUGGUACUGUGACUAGUGGCUGCCCCUCGCCCUCUCUGAAGAAGAAUGUGGCGAUGGGUUAUGUGCCCUGCGAGUACAGUCGUCCAGGGACAAUGCUGCUGGUAGAGGUGCGGCGGAAGCAGCAGAUGGCUGUAGUCAGCAAGAUGCCCUUUGUGCCCACAAACUACUAUACCCUCAAGUGAAGCUGGCUCAGGGUGGGGCUGUCCCUUCCAGAAGUUUUGCCCCUACAAGGGGUUAGUCAAGAAGCUGAGGCAGAACUCACUGGGGGUGGGCAGUUAAGGUGGAGGCUGAUUCUAAUUGUCUGGCUGAGGGGCCACACCACCUAUUCCCCCCACCUAACUCAUGCCACUCCAGCUUCCUUCAGGACCCUGCUUCUGAGUGACGGACCAGCUCACACAAUGUCUUGUUUCAGUCCAUGAUCCCACUGACCUACUCUUGCCUGCUGGAGGGUAAUGAGAAGCUUUGGUUCUGCCAUCUCUCCCACUCUGCCAGGUGCUGGCUGUGGAGCAAAGGCUCACCUUUGUGGGGAGGAUAAAACCUGCCCAACCUACCUCACCAUGGUUUUUCACAUUGCAAACGGUAAUAACAUGGGCAGUGUGGACUUAGGCUACCCCCUCCAGUUUGCUUUCCGUAAAUGCAAAUUGUCCCUACUGCAAGUCAGGAAUGAUUGCCGACUCACAGUAGGGCUGCUAUGCCUGUGUGUAAACUUGGGGAUGGCUGAGGGAACACAGACUCACUCUUCCGCAUUCCCAAGUUGGUCUAGUGUGCUGCCCAGUAGCAAACCAUGGCAGGCUCACCACCUAUUCUGAGCUCCAGGGCUGUUGUAGGGCAGGGUGGGCUUCCUCCCAGACU
rnacentral:sRNA from 1 species